rnacentral:rRNA from 1 species
AGUCGACGAACAUUUAGACAGAUUACUUCGGUUUGAAAUCUUUUAUGACUGAGUGGCGGACGGGUGAGUAACGCGUGGGUAACCUGCCUCAUACAGGGGGAUAGCAGCUGGAAACGGCUGGUAAUACCGCAUAAGCGCACAGUACCACAUGGUACAGUGUGAAAAACUCCGGUGGUAUGAGAUGGACCCGCGUCUGAUUAGCUAGUUGGCGGGGUAACGGCCCACCAAGGCGACGAUCAGUAGCCGACCUGAGAGGGUGACCGGCCACAUUGGGACUGAGACACGGCCCAGACUCCUACGGGAGGCAGCAGUGGGGAAUAUUGCACAAUGGAGGAAACUCUGAUGCAGCGACGCCGCGUGAGUGAAGAAGUAGUUCGCUAUGUAAAGCUCUAUCAGCAGGGAAGAUAGUGACGGUACCUGACUAAGAAGCUCCGGCUAAAUACGUGCCAGCAGCCGCGGUAAUACGUAUGGAGCAAGCGUUAUCCGGAUUUACUGGGUGUAAAGGGAGUGUAGGUGGCCAGGCAAGUCAGAAGUGAAAGCCCGGGGCUCAACCCCGGGACUGCUUUUGAAACUGCAGGGCUAGAGUGCAGGAGGGGCAAGUGGAAUUCCUAGUGUAGCGGUGAAAUGCGUAGAUAUUAGGAGGAACACCAGUGGCGAAGGCGGCUUGCUGGACUGUAACUGACACUGAGGCUCGAAAGCGUGGGGAGCAAACAGGAUUAGAUACCCUGGUAGUCCACGCCGUANACGAUGAAUACUAGGUGUCNGGGCACAUAAGUGCUCCGGUGCCGCAGCAAACGCAAUAAGUAUUCCACCUGGGGAGUACGUUCGCAAGAAUGAAACUCAAAGGAAUUGACGGG